ensembl:lncRNA
UAUGCUUCAAAAGGGUGUUAUUUCUACACCCUAAUGUUAGUUUACAGACAACAGGCCACCACUCAGUCAAUUCUGAGUGUAUUAGUGUAGUGGAAUUGCUAAGUCAUGGCUUUGAACCAGUGAUUGAGCACCUGGUGGGAGGGCAGGGCCAGCCCAGAGGAGCUCAGGUGCAAGUGAUUAGAAGGAGUGGAGCCAGGAUCCAUCCCUUCCCAGAUCGCAUUUAAGGGUUGGCACUGGAAGUGUGGGUAUCUUGCUGGAGGUUCCUGCGUACCUGAAGCCUUCCAAAGGGAUGUGGGAGUAUCAGCACCUCCUACGUAACGCUCAGCAGCGUGCAGAAGUAGACUAGUCUGGUCACUUAUGGAGGCCCGUUUAGAACCAGUAGGAUUAUUCAGUACUUUUUCCCUGGAGAAAAACAGUCGUCUUUAUCCUGUCUCCCUGAGUUGCGAUGCAUAGCUCCAGAGUGGCUGACGGGAAUAUGGCUGAUUUACCAGAAAGCUGGCAGCCUCUGACCGUUGUCUUAGGAGGGUAUCACGAAAACGAAGGCAAACUGCGAGAAGGUUUCUGCUCUUCACUGGAAUAUUUCAAGUAUCUAUAAACUGGAGAAGGUGGAAAACUGAUGUUCCCUUCCUGUUGCGUCUCUUUUUCUUCCCUGAGUGCAGAAGGAGCUCAUCAAUAUUGACUUGCUCUAGUCUGCUACGUGGUCUUUUUAGAUUAUAACCCUGCUUUUUUCCCCAUUACCAGUAAAAUGGUGUGUUGGAAUUUGUGUACUUCACGCAUAUCUCUUCAGUCUUCAUGCAGCACUCACCUAACUACAGCCUUGCUGCUAGUGGCAUUCAAGUCUUUGUAUAUUGUGUUGGCUUUUGGGGAACACUUGGUCUUCCAUUCCAAGUGGUGGAUUACAGCAGAUAAUUGACAAAGUUCCAUUUGUUUUUAAUUCAAAGGGUGUCUCUUCCUUUCAAUGUUAAUUUUCACGCUGAAGAAGGAGGUAACCAAUAUUGUAGGUAUUGCUAUGCAGGAAUAGAACUGGGGGAAAAAAAAUGAAACAUUUCCUUGGUGCAUCUCUGGCUGCCACUUAUUCUAAAACAGGUCUGUAAAAGAUAAUGUUAUACAUUAUUUGAAGUGACUGCAGUGAGGUUUUUAGUGUAAAGUUUUUGUUUGUCCCCGUUGCAUAGAAGCCAGCCGGUUUGCUAGUUUGAGUGACCUCACAUUCCUUAAACGUACUCAUAAAUCAAACCAAGGCCAUAUAUUAAAAGCUAAACUCUGACAUUAAUUCAAAGGAGGGAAAGUUUUAUACACUGUGGGAUAAGUACAUAGCUGGACACCUAGGGCAAAGUUUUCUCAGUUCUUACUUAUAUUUAGCAAAACUAUGUUCUUCUAAGAGUCUCAUAGAAUGCCUGGAAGUCAGCUGGACCCUAUGUUACUUGAGGUGAAUAUAGUUUGGAAAGGCAUGCCCUGAAGAACUAAUAACUACUUUGAUUAGUGCGAACAUGCAGAUUAAAAGAAAAAAAUAUUACUUAAAAUUAUUCUUGUGAUAGUCUCUAAUAAAGGCAGUUUGGCAACAUGUUCAGUGGCAUCGUCUCAAUGGAACACUUUAGUGUGAUUUAGUGGGAAG